AUUUCUAAGGGGGUUGUGACUUUGUGAUCCUCACAGCACAGAAAAGCUGCUGAUUAGUUACGUUUCCCUUGACAACUUGGGAGCGUAGUGACUCCUCCUGAGAUAAACAGAAAGGAUUAAUCUUGACAAAGCGACUCUGAGAGGUUGGGAACCACAAAGAAGGAAGAGGGGAGUAAUACAAUUAUUUUUGUGCUUUAUGAAUAAUUUGUAGCUGGAAUAAGUAAAAUUACACACAGCAAGCACUCGCAUAUAUUUUCCUCUCUGCCUCUGAGGGAGUUAAACUGUAAACGCGGUGAAGAGAAGCAGUAAGAGUAAAAUUAGUCUACAGCGAGUUGUAUCUUGAAGAACAAUAUGCUCUUGUGUGUCUGCCCCUUCUCACAGGAUAUGGCCCAUCGACUGGAGAUCACAGAUGUCCUCCUGUUGGUAUUUGUGGUUCGCAGCAUGCUGAAAAUCAGAAUAUUUCAGAUUUGUUAACUGGUUUUACUGUGAGUAGUAAUUUCCUUGUUGGAAACAGCCUGUCUGAAUGAUCCAGCCUUCUCAAGUUUGUGCACCACCUGGUGCAGAAAUGCAAGCAGAAAGUAAGAAAAAAAAGCUGAAUGGAUGUGAAAAGUUUAUGAAUAUGCAGAGCUUUGGCACAAAAAAUCAUCUUCAUUCCAGCAGAGCAUUUUCCAUCUCUUUAUUAGUGUGUGAGCUUCCAAGGCCUCGUUUAUAAGGAGCUGCUCCUUUCUGCUUUCCACAGGAUCACACAGGAUGGCUGGGGUUGGCAGGGACCUGAGCAGGCCCCGGCCCAGCCCCUGCUCCAGCAGGGCCACCCAGAGCAGGGUGCCCAGCACCACGUCCAGGCGGCUUCUGAAGGGCUCCAGGGAGGAGACCCCACCGCCUCUCUGGGCAGCCUGAGCCAGGGCCCCAGCACCCCCAUGUUAACAAAGUGCUCUGUGAUGUUCAGACAGAGCCUCUUGGGCUCCAGUUUGUGCCCACGGCCUCCUGUCCUGGCACUGGGCACCACUGGGCAGAGCCUGGCCCUGUCCUCUCAGCACCUCCCUUCAGGCACUGCCAGGCCCUGAUGGGAUCCCCCUGGGCCUCCUCUUUUCCAGGCGGAGCAGGCCCAGAUCUCAGCCCCUCCUCAUAGGAGACGUGCUCCAGCCCCUUCACCAUCUUGCUAGUCCUUCACUGGACUCCCUCGACUAUGCCCAGGUCUCUCCUGUCCCGGGGAGCCCAGGACUGGACACAGCACUCCAGCUGUGGCCUCACAUUUCGGCCUGUGCCAGGGAGCAGGUUCCCUAGCAGGCAGUGAUGCCCAGCUGCAGCUGGUGCAGGUGAAAGCUGGGGACUGUUGGGUUUGGCAGAAAUACAUCCUCAGCCACCAUUCAGAUGGCUUUGGAGGUCCCCAGCACAUAAUCUGCUGUUUUACUGAAGUGUGUUCUCACCAGACUUACCAGGGAUGCAGACAGCACAGGAGGGCACAGCGUUAUGUGAGAGAGUUUGCAUUUGGGUGGGCACAUCCUUCUGGCAAGGGGAAACCAUCCAGAGAAGAAAUCAUUCACUGUACCACCAGAUUACUCAUCUCAGGUUUAGUUUUUAAGUGCUAAACAUUGACUUAAUGCAGCAGGAGACGCAGACUGGGUUCUUCUGCAAGCUGAGGAGAGGAGAGGGAGAAGAUAGGGCACAUGACAAGGCCCUUCAGAAGGAAUCAUGUCACAUGAAACUGCAGUUGAUCCAAGUGGUGCACAUGAAGAUCACACAGAAGAAAUGAUUCUCAGAAAGACGUGAGUAAAGGCAGAGAUGCUCACAGCUCUCUGAAGAAGGUGUGCCCUCUUGCCCUUGGUCUGCAGUGAUGUGGAGGCUCUUAUCGUGAUUUAAAUAAGAGUGGGCUCACAUCAUAU